rnacentral:rRNA from 1 species
CUUGGAGAUAGCUGGUUCUCUCCGAAAUAGCUUUAGGGCUAGCGUCGAUGUUAAGUCUCUUGGAGGUAGAGCACUGUUUGGGUGAGGGGUCCAUCCCGGAUUACCAAUCUCAGAUAAACUCCGAAUGCCAACGAGAUAUAAUCGGCAGUCAGACUGCGAGUGCUAAGAUCCGUAGUCGAAAGGGAAACAGCCCAGACCACCAGCUAAGGUCCCAAAAUAUAUGUUAAGUGGAAAAGGAUGUGGGGUUGCACAGACAACUAGGAUGUUAGCUUAGAAGCAGCUAUUCAUUCAAAGAGUGCGUAAUAGCUCACUAGUCGAGUGACCCUGCGCCGAAAAUGUACCGGGGCUAAAACAUAUUACCGAAGCUGUGGAUACCUUUAUAGGUAUGGUAGGAGAGCGUUCUAUGUGCGAAGAAGGUGUACCGUGAGGAGUGCUGGAGCGCAUAGAAGUGAGAAUGCCGGUAUGAGUAGCGAAAGACAGGUGAGAAUCCUGUCCACCGUAAGACUAAGGUUUCCAGGGGAAGGCUCGUCCGCCCUGGGUUAGUCGGGACCUAAGGAGAGACCGAAAGGUGUAUCCGAUGGACAACAGGUUGAUAUUCCUGUACUAGAGUAUAUAGUGAUGGAGGGACGCAGUAGGCUAACUAAACCAGACGAUUGGAAGUGUCUGGCCAAGCAGUGAGGUGUGAUAUGAGUCAAAUGCUUAUAUCUAUAACAUUGAGCUGUGAUGGGGAGCGAAGUUUAGUAGCGAAGUUAGUGAUGUCACACUGCCGAGAAAAGCUUCUAGCGUUAAUUAUACUCUACCCGUACCGCAAACCGACACAGGUAGUCGAGGCGAGUAGCCUCAGGUGAGCGAGAGAACUCUCGUUAAGGAACUCGGCAAAAUGACCCCGUAACUUCGGGAGAAGGGGUGCUGGCUUUCAGUCAGCCGCAGUGAAUAGGCCCAAGCAACUGUUUAUCAAAAACACAGCUCUCUGCUAAAUCGUAAGAUGAUGUAUAGGGGGUGACGCCUGCCCGGUGCUGGAAGGUUAAGAGGAGUGCUUAGCAAUAGCGAAGGUAUGAAUUGAAGCCCCAGUAAACGGCGGCCGUAACUAUAACGGUCCUAAGGUAGCGAAAUUCCUUGUCGGGUAAGUUCCGACCCGCACGAAAGGCGUAAUGAUUUGGGCACUGUCUCAACGAGAGACUCGGUGAAAUUUUAGUACCUGUGAAGAUGCAGGUUACCCGCGACAGGACGGAAAGACCCCAUGGAGCUUUACUGCAGUUUGAUAUUGAGUAUCUGUACCACAUGUACAGGAUAGGUAGGAGCCUAUGACCUCGGGACGCCAGUUUCGAGUGAGGCGUUGUUGGGAUACUACCCUUGUGUUAUGGCUACUCUAACCCAGAUAGGUUAUCCCUAUCGGAGACAGUGUCUGACGGGCAGUUUG